rnacentral:snRNA from 1 species
GGAUGGGAGGGCGAUCUGACUGGUACAUCUCUCACCCCAUUUAUCGCCAGGGUUGAGUCGGCUGAUUUGACUGGCUAGGCUGCUGUCCCCUUCCUCCCUCACCACUCCUUGUGUGUCCCUCCCGAAGCUGCGAGCUCUAUCGAAGAUGAGUAUCCCUGACAGAGGAGGACCUGUCUUUGGUCAAGGGUAUGGGAGUAGCUGUGCUCCCCUGCUAGAACCUCCAAAUAAACUCUCAAUUAAAAAACAUAGCACCCAAAAGUUUAGCAACAAACUCUUUGCUAGGACUUAUCAAGUUCUGAUAAAUGCUCUCUCUA